rnacentral:rRNA from 1 species
GACGAACCGUGCAAACGUUGUUCGGAAUCACUGGGCUUAAAGGGCGCGUAGGCGGGCAGCCAAGUCUGAGGUGAAAUCUUUCGGCUUAACCGGAAAAUAGCCUUGGAUACUGGCAGUCUCGAGGGAGGUAGGGGCAUGUGGAACUUCCGGUGGAGCGGUGAAAUGCGUUGAUAUCGGAAGGAACGCCGGUGGCGAAAGCGACGUGCUGGACCUCUACUGACGCUGAGGCGCGAAAGCCAGGGGAGCAAACGGG